GACGAACGCUGGCGGCGUGCCUAACACAUGCAAGUCGAACGGAACUUCUUUAAAGGAUUUCUUCGGAAUGAAUUUGAUUAAGUUUAGUGGCGGACGGGUGAGUAACGCGUGAGUAACCUGCCUCUAAGAGGGGAAUAACAUUCUGAAAAGAAUGCUAAUACCGCAUAACAUAUAUUUAUCGCAUGGUAGAUAUAUCAAAGAUUUAUCGCUUAGAGAUGGACUCGCGUCCGAUUAGUUAGUUGGUGAGGUAACGGCUCACCAAGACCGCGAUCGGUAGCCGGACUGAGAGGUUGAACGGCCACAUUGGGACUGAGACACGGCCCAGACUCCUACGGGAGGCAGCAGUGGGGGAUAUUGCGCAAUGGGGGAAACCCUGACGCAGCAACGCCGCGUGAAGGAUGAAGGUCUUCGGAUUGUAAACUUCUUUUAUUAAGGACGAAGAAAGUGACG
rnacentral:rRNA from 1 species